rnacentral:rRNA from 1 species
CCUACGGGAGGCAGCAGUGGGGAAUAUUGGGCAAUGGGCGCAAGCCUGACCCAGCAAUGCCGCGUGAAGGAAGAAGGCUUUCGGGUUGUAAACUUCUUUUACAGGGGAAGAGCAGAAUACGGUUCCCUGAAAACUAACCCCAGCCAACUACGUUCCAGCCGCCGCCGUAAUACGUAGGUGGCAAGAGUUUUCCGGAUUUACUGGGUGUAAAGGGCGUGUAGCCGGGAAGGCAAGUCAGAUGUGAAAUCUGGAGGCUCAACCUCCAAAGUGCAUUUGAAACUGUUUUUCUUGAGUACUGGAGAGGCAGACGGAAUUCCGUGUGGAGCGGUGAAAUGCGGAGAUAUAAGGAGGAACACCAGUGGCGAAGGCGGUCUGCUGGACAGCAACUGACGGUGAGGCGCGAAAGCGUUGGGAGCAAACAGGAUUAGAUACCCCGGUAGUC